GAUGAACGCUGGCGGCGUGCUUAACACAUGCAAGUCGAACGGUGAAGCGCUUUCCUUUUUGGUGGGUGUGGAUGAGUGGCCAACGGGUUAGUAAGACGUGAGUAACCUGCUCCCUUCUUCUGGAUAACCGAAUGAAAGUGUGGCUAAUACGGGAUAUUCUGGGUCUGUCGCAUGAUGGGUCUGGGAAAGAUUUUGUUUCGGUGGGAGAUGGGCUCGCGGCCUAUCAGCUUGUUGGUGGGGUGAUGGCCUACCAAGGCGGUGCCGAGUAGCCGGACUGAGAGGAUGAGCCAUCACGCAAGUGAUGCAACGUCGCGCCUCCUCCGACAGGAAGCAGUGGGGAGGAAUAUUGCACGAUCGGCAGAAUGCUGAUGCAACGACGCGGGGGGGAAGAUGGAGUCCGUCGGGUUGAGAACCUCUGUCGCCAGAGAAGCAGGCCUGCCUCGUUUGUGGGUGGGUUGACGGUAGCUGAAUAAGAAGCGCCGGCUAACUACGUG
rnacentral:rRNA from 1 species